rnacentral:lncRNA from 10 species
GGAUGAGAAGCCACAUGUUCAAUCACAGUCACCCCUAAGCAAGCGGCUUAACGGGAAUAGUUUUUGCUUGUUUUUUCUUGAGACAGGGUCUCACUCUGCCGCCCAGGCUGGAGUGCAGUGGUGCAAUCAUGGCUCACUGCAGCCCUGCAGCCUCCAAUUCCCGGGCUCGAGUGAUCCUCCAGUUUCCGCUUCCCAAAGCGCUGGGAGCUUUGGGCCACCAUGCCUGGCCCAGUGGAUGGCCUUUUAAAAAGUACUUUAUACACUACAUCCAGAGUUACCCAAAUUCAGUCAAAUGCUGUGCAUAACCACCCGCUAGUAGACACACAUCACAGAAGAGUGGUUUCCACGCUCUCGACUGGGGCCUACGAUGGUAAGUUCAUACACUCAUCACUGCAAGUUUCCUGAGUCGAU